GGAUAGCACAGUGAUAAAGCAUCUGCCUUGCAAGCAGAAGGUCCUACAUUCAAUCCCUGGGAUAUCCA